AAAUAUUUCUGGUCAAACAGAAAAGGGCGCAAGGUGAAUGCCUUGGCAUAUGGAGCCGAAGAAGGACGUUAGCAAACGAAAGCCACGGUUAGCUGCAACAAGCUAUGAUCCGUGGGUAUCCGAAUGGGGAAACCCACAUGAUGAAGAGUCAUGUACCAUAUACUGAAUACAUAGGUAUAUAGGAGGAAAACCCGGAGAACUGAAACAUCUAAGUACCCGGAGGAAGAGAAAGAAAA
rnacentral:rRNA from 1 species